GAUGAAGAACGCAGCGAAAUGCGAUACUUGGUGUGAAUUGCAGAAUUCAGUGAAUCAUCGAGUCUUUGAACGCACAUUGCGCCCCCUGGCAUUCCGGGGGGCAUGCCUGUCCGAGCGUCAUUGCUGCCCUUCAAGCCCGGCUUGUGUGUUGGGUCGUCGUCCCCCCCGGGGGACGGGCCCGAAAGGCAGCGGCGGCACCGCGUCCGGUCCUCGAGCGUAUGGGGCUUUGUCACCCGCUCGAUUAGGGCCGGCCGGGCGCCAGCCGGCGUCUCCAACCUUCUAUUUUACCAGGUUGACCUCGGAUCAGGUAGGGAUACCCGCUGAACUUAAGCAUAUCAAUAAGCGGAGGA
rnacentral:misc_RNA from 1 species